CUGCCUGGUCAGGGUGCCGGCUGCUUGGAGCAGGUGCGCUACAGGCGCUGCACAGAGCAGGCAGCGGGGCCGCUACUCAACCCCUCCUGGGUGCUAAGCCAAUCCCAACACCCUGGGCCAUGCUCCCAACGCCUUUCUUCCCCUCCAGGAGGCCCCAGCCCACCUUCCCCCAUGGCUAGCUGGGCCCGGCUGCUGUCGAGCUCUGGGGUUGGCAGGCAUCUGGCUCCAUGUCCCAAGUGCCCCUCCCCUCCCCCCGCAGUAAGGAUGCUAGAAAACCUCUCCCAGUCAUCUCAAUGCCCCGGCAUUCACCAGGCACUCAGUGUGGUGCGUCUAUUUCAGAGAGGAGCUUCUGGGCGAGAUGGAAACAGAGAGCCUGCCUGGCACAUGGACACUUGCCACCCCAAGCUGCCUUCUCUCCUGCUGCAAAUGGAUACAGGAGCCUCCUUCCCCUGCUUGUCCUACACUGUGGUCUGGUCAAACAGCUGCUGCAUCCCACGCCAGAGGUGGCUGCAUUUCAGUGAUCCAGCGGCGGUGGGCAGCGGUGCCAUCCCUGAUCAGAGGGGACUUGGCUCUGGCACAGCGUCCUGCCUCUCCAAGACCUGCCGGAGAGCUAAGGGAGUACACUGUUCCUUUCAGAGGAUUGGGCCCUCCAGGACAGCCAGCGCCCAGCCAACUGCCCUUUGGAGAACGAGCUUGGGGGUACAUGAUCCCUUUAAGGGCUAGCGGGGGCUGCAUCACCCACAGAUGCCUGACCAUGGCCCUGGCCCCGAGUUCUCCUGUGACUUCAGCGUGGCCAGCGAUGGAGAAUGCAGUCGCCCCUUGCUCCAUCCCAGAACGAUGCAGGAAGGAGGGUGCUGCCCAGCAAUGCAUUUCAGCCAGAUCAGGGGACAGCAAAGUGAGCCAUGGUGCAUGUGCCACCUCUGCUUUGCCAUCUGCUGCACACUAACAUCUGCCUUUCCACGCUGUGCCCACACAAUGCACUGUGACAGCACACGGGUCUUCUGUGUCCUUAAACACACCUGUGCCGUAGCUUAUCAUGCUGCUGCGAAGGCCUGGCGGGCUGUGGAAGGCAUGGAUCUGAACCGUACGGUGAACAGGGCUACCGGGAUCUCGGGGACUGGGCUGGCUGCUCUGCACAGACAGUAACGGACUGGCACACUUGGGGUCCGCAGCACAAACCAGGGGACGAAGCUUCCUGGCCACCUUUGCUCCAGGACAGUUCUUGUAAGGUUGUAAUGGCUUUAAGGGAAUUCUCACCUGAGUCUGAACCACUGGCAGGCCAUAUCCACCUCGCCUUUCUACUUCUGAGCUGCCAGGACCAAUGCUGAGCAGCUCCCCGGGGGUAAAUAGCCAGAGAGCCCUUGUGUGCUACCUGCUAGCAGGUAGUGCCGGGCCCUGCUUGCAAGCUGCAGCCCCCCUCCCCUCCAAGGAAUCGCGCUCUACAGCCCAGUCCCACUUACCUCCCCAUUUGAAAGGAAGACUCCCCAGAACACAGCUGACACACACUGGGGAGUUUUGAUGACUACAAGUGGAUAAAAUCCUGCAUUCCAGAAGGUUUAGUUCAGGUUCCCAGAGCCCAUUAGCCAGGCUGGCUGUUCAGAAGGGUGAAUCAGCAGAGAACUAAUACAGGGCUUUCUUUUACCACAGUUAAAAGCCAUUAAAAUGUCAAUUUUAGAUAACUCCGAUAAGGUCGUGUUCUGCUAGUACCUUACUCCACAGGAAGUAGAGGGGGAUUCAAAGAAGGGAGACAAGUAUGAGGGGCCUGGAUAAACUCAGUUGAAGAGAGACAGAAAAGACGGGAAGUGAAAAGAGAGGGGGCGAAUCAGAGGGGACAGGAAAGAAGUGGGUGAAUGGAAUACACCAGCUAGACGGGAAUGUUUGUUCCCCCUGUAUCUGAGCACAAGAAUAAAGGGGCAGUUCGGUGACUAUGAAAGUGGACAAACUCAAAACGAAGAAAAGGAAAUACACAAAUAUCCGGUGGAACUCACUGCCACUGGAUGCCACUGAGGCCAUAACUUAGCAAGAUUUGAAAACCAAUCAGACGUUUCUCUGGAUUGUGAGACUGAGUUAUAACAGGAAAUACUAAACCAGAGCCGAGAGUUUUAGAAGGAAUAUUACCACCUCCACUCCCCGGAAGGGACCAUCUAAUCUGGCCCCUGUAUAGCACAGGCCACAGAACUUCAUCAAGAGAUGGAGACUCCACCACUCGAUGUUAGAAAUGUGUCUCUGUCUCCUUUACUUUGUGCACUGGUGACGGUGCCUUUUGCUCAGAGGAUAUGGAACAACGGAUCCACCACAGGAAUUAAAGAUGCAGGCAGACAUCAGGAAACAGUGUUCGAUGCCGAUGAUGUAAUAUUAUUUUUUUCUAAACCAAAUAUUUCCCUAAAAUUCAUUUCUAGAGAAGUGCAGGACAUUGGGAAAGCAUCUGGAUUUAAAGUCAAUUACGCCAAAUCUGAAAUGUUA